AACCUUAUGGACCUGCGGGCGUAUACCUGCGGAAGGAUCAUUACCGAGUUUACAACUCCCAAACCCCUGUGAACAUACCUAUACGUUGCCUCGGCGGAUCAGCCCGCGCCCCGUAAAAAGGGACGGCCCGCCCGAGGACCCCUAAACUCUGUUUUUAGUGGAACUUCUGAGUAAAACAAACAAAUAAAUCAAAACUUUUAGCAACGGAUCU
rnacentral:misc_RNA from 1 species